AACGAACGCUGGCGGCAUGCCUAACACAUGCAAGUCGAACGAGACCUCCGGGUCUAGUGGCGCACGGGUGCGUAACGCGUGGGAACCUGCCCUUAGGUUCGGAAUACCUCCCCGAAAGGGGUGCUAAUACCGGAUAAUGUCUUCGGACCAAAGAUUUAUCGCCUUUGGAUGGGCCCGCGUUGGAUUAGCUAGUUGGUAGGGUAAAAGCCUACCAAGGCGACGAUCCAUAGCUGGUCUGAGAGGAUGAUCAGCCACACUGGGACUGAGACGCGGCCCAGACUCCUACGGGAGGCAGCGGUGGGGAAUAUUGGACAAUGGGCGAAAGCCUGAUCCAGCAAUGCCGGGUGAGUGAUGAAGGCCUUAGGGUUGUAAAGCUCUUUUACCCGGGAUGAUAAUGACGGUACCGGGAGAAUAAGCUCCGGCUAACUCCGUG
rnacentral:rRNA from 1 species